GAUGAACGCUAGCUACAGGCUUAACACAUGCAAGUCGAGGGGCAGCGGUAUCGAAAGCUUGCUUUCGGUAGCCGGCGACCGGCGCACGGGUGAGUAACGCGUAUCGAACCUGCCUCAUACUCGGGAAUAGCCUUGCGAAAGUAAGAUUAAUGCCCGGUGUUUUCAGAGUCCCGCAUGAGGCUUUGAACAAAGAUUUAUCGGUAUGAGGUGGCGAUGCGUCCCAUUAGCUUGUUGGCGGGGUAACGGCCCACCAAGGCAUCGAUGGGUAGGGGUUCUGAGAGGAAGGUCCCCCACAUUGGAACUGAGACACGGUCCAAACUCCUACGGGAGGCAGCAGUGAGGAAUAUUGGUCAAUGGGCGGAAGCCUGAACCAGCCAAGUAGCGUGCAGGAAGACGGCCCUCCGGGUUGUAAACUGCUUUUAGUUGGGAAUAAAACGGGGCUCGUGAGCCCCCUUGCAUGUACCAUCAGAAAAAGGACCGGCUAAUUCCGUG
rnacentral:rRNA from 1 species